rnacentral:rRNA from 1 species
CGACCGGCGCACGGGUGAGUAACGCGUAUGCAACUUACCUAUCAGAGGGGGAUAACCCGGCGAAAGUCGGACUAAUACCGCAUGAAGCAGGGGCCCCGCAUGGGGAUAUUUGCUAAAGAUUCAUCGCUGAUAGAUAGGCAUGCGUUCCAUUAGGCAGUUGGCGGGUAACGGCCCACCAAACCGACGAUGGAUAGGGGUUCUGAGAGGAAGGUCCCCCACAUUGGUACUGAGACACGGACCAA